ensembl:lncRNA
UGUUUAUCACAUGCAUCAACAGAUUAUUACUGAGUGAAAAAUGCCGCGCGUGAGAAGGAGAACCACCUCCCGUGGGCUGGUUCCUGCAUGGGGGUAUGCCAGGGCCUGCAGCGAGGUCAAUUCUGGGAGCUCAGUGAGGCAGGCAGCGUUGGCCAACAACAUAAACCAUGUGACGUUGUCACGCUACCUCAAGCGGAGGGCAGAAGAGGGCAGUGAAGCGGCUAGGUCCCCUGGCUAUAACCCGGACAAUAGGGUUUUUAACGCAGCGCAGCGCAGGAGGGAAAGGUCAGGGACUACCUGAAGAGGGCAGCAGCCAUUUAUUUUGGGCUCACCCCUAAUGAGGUCAGAAAAUUUGCCUUUGAGCUGGCAGUGCACUUCAGCUGCCCAUUCCCUGCAUCCUGGUCGAGGAAGAGCAUGGCGGGGAAGGACUGGUUCACCUCCUUCAUGGAGCGCAGUGGCAGCCUCUCCCUUCGGCGUCCAGAGGCCACUAGCCAACAACGGUUGUCAAGUUUCAACCAAAGUAAUGUAAACUUGUUCCACCAAAAUUUAAAGACAGUGCUGGACCGGCACCAGUUCCAGGCCAAGGACAUUUGGAACAUUGAUGAAACCGGUAUUUAAUAUGAACUUUAUUAACAUAAAACACAACUAUAUACACACACACAACUAUAUAUAUACAUCUAAACUCACACAACUAUUUACAGGGGUCACCACUGUCCAGGUGCAAGACCGCGUCGUCGCCCAGAUGGAGCAGAAGCAGGUCGGGUCAGUGACCUCAGCGGAGAGGGGGACCCUGGUCACAGUUGCCCUGGCAGGCAAUGCUCAGGGCGACCUUGUUCCGCCAUUCUUCAUCUUCCCCCCGUAAGCGGUUCAAAGACCACUUCCUGAGGGGUGGACCCGUUGGCUGUGCAGGCAGCGGCAACCCAACUGGCUGGAUGAAGGAGCCAGACUUCCUCCUGUACCUGGCCCACUUCACCAGUCACACCCGUGUGUCCAAGGAGUCGAAGCUGCUCCUCCUGCUGGACAAUCACACGUCCCACCUGUCAAUUGCAGCAAUUGAUUACUGCAGAGCCAAUGGCAUAGUGCUGCUGUCAUUCCCUCCCCACUGCACCCACAGGUUGCAGCCAAUGGACAUUAGUGUCUUCGGCCCCCUUAAGGGGUACGUAAACAGUGCAGCGGACAGGUGGAUGAGGAGCCACCCAGGGAUAAACAUCUAAAUUUAUGAUGUGCCCUCCAUCGUUGCUGAAGCCUUACCAAAGGCUGCAACAGUGAACAACAUUACCUCCGGGUUCUCAAGUCCAGGGAUCUGGCCUUUUAACCCCUCUGCAUUUGAGGAGAAGGACUUCGCCGGAGCCUAUUCAACAGACCGCCCUCCUCCCCAGGCUUCGGGUGACGAGGUCAGCGCUUCUCCAGGUGCCACUUCAGGCAUGGAUGUACCUGAUCGAGCUGUCCGGCCUGAGGGAGAGGCCGUUGAAUUCAGCCCGGACAUCGUCCGGCCUUACCCUAAGGCCGGACCUAGAAAGAUCACAAAGAGAAGAGGGAGAAAGAGGACAACUGCUAUACUUACGGACACCCCGGUGAGGGCUGCUUUAGAGGCGGAAAAGCAGGGAACUGUGAAGCAGCGUCGUCCCGCCAAGCAGCCUCCCC